rnacentral:tRNA from 1 species
GCCCGUCUAGCUCCGUUGGUAGAGCGCAAGUCUCUUAACCUUGUGGUCGUGGGUUCAAGACCCACGAUGGGCG